UGGGGAAUCUUGCGCAAUGGGCGAAAGCCUGACGCAGCAACGCCGCGUGGGGGAAGAAGGCCUUCGGGUUGUAAACCCCUUUCAGGAGGGACGAAGCUUCGGCGGUGAAUAGCCGUCCGGAGUGACGGUACCUCCAGAAGAAGCCCCGGCUAACUACGUGCCAGCAGCCGCGGUAAUACGUAGGGGGCAAGCGUUGUCCGGAAUCAUUGGGCGUAAAGAGCGCGUAGGCGGCCAGAUAAGUCCGGUGUGAAAGUCCCAGGCUCAACCUGGGAAUGCCGCCGGAAACUGUCUGGCUAGAGUCCGGAAGGGGCCAGUGGAAUUCCCGGUGUAGCGGUGAAAUGCGCAGAUAUCGGGAGGAACACCAAUGGCGAAGGCAGCUGGCUGGGACGGUACUGACGCUGAGGCGCGAAAGCGUGGGGAGCGAACAG
rnacentral:rRNA from 1 species